AUUGAACGCUGGCGGCAUGCUUUACACAUGCAAGUCGAACGGUAACAGGUUAAGCUGACGAGUGGCGAACGGGUGAGUAAUGCAUCGGAACGUGCCCGGUCGUGGGGGAUAACGCAGCGAAAGCUGCGCUAAUACCGCAUACGAUCUGAGGAUGAAAGCGGGGGACCGUAAGGCCUCGCGCGAUCGGAGCGGCCGAUGUCAGAUUAGGUAGUUGGUGGGGUAAGGGCUCACCAAGCCAACGAUCUGUAGCUGGUCUGAGAGGACGACCAGCCACACUGGGAAUUAGACACGGACCAGACGCCUACGGGAGGCAGCAGUGGGGAAUUUUGGACAAUGGGCGCAAGCCUGAUCCAGCAAUGCCGCGUGCAGGAAGAAGGCCUUCGGGUUGUAAACUGCUUUUGUACGGAACGAAAAGGUUUGGGUUAAUACCCUGGGCCGAUGACGGUACCGUAAGAAUAAGCACCGGCUAACUACGUGCCAGCAGCCGCCGUAA
rnacentral:rRNA from 1 species